rnacentral:rRNA from 1 species
UACAGAGGGUGCGAGCGUUAAUCGGAAUUACUGGGCGUAAAGCGUGCGUAGGCGGUUAUUUAAGUCGGAUGUGAAAGCCCCGGGCUCAACCUGGGAAUUGCAUUCGAGACUGAAUAGCUAGGGUGCGGUAGGGGGAAGCGGAAUUUCCGGUGUAGCGGUGAAAUGCGUAGAUAUCGGAAGGAACACCAGUGGCGAAAGCGGCUUCCUGGGCCAGCACCGACGUUGAGGCACGAAAGCGUGGGGAGCAAACAGG